UACGGAAGGGGCGAGCGUUGUUCGGAAUCACUGGGCGUAAAGCGCGUGUAGGCGGCCAUACAGGUCCGUUGUGAAAACUCGAGGCUUAACCUCGAGACGUCGAUGGAAACCGUAUGGCUAGAGUCCGGAAGAGGAGAGUGGAAUUCCUGGUGUAGCGGUGAAAUGCGCAGAUAUCAGGAAGAACACCCGUGGCGAAGGCAGCUCGCUGGGACGUAACUGACGCUGAGACGCGAAAGCGUGGGGAGCAAACAGG
rnacentral:rRNA from 1 species